rnacentral:lncRNA from 1 species
AAUAUUGACAGAAAUAGGCAUGAGAUGAAAAAAUCAAGAUGAAUAAAACCACACAGAGAUACAAGUAGGCUAAAGGCUCAGUAAAAACCCAUUCGAAGCAUGGUAACCAUAGAAACUUAACAAAAGUCGAGUAGUCAUGCUAACACACAGAACCAAAACAAAUAAGAUUUAAAAAAUUAGGGCUUCUAACACGAGUUGAAACAUCUGUAA